CAAAACUUUGCAGAUAGAAGCAAGACAAGGCAUCAUGGAAAAUUUUGUAGGGCUCUUGAGAGUGUUGCCUUGUUCAAAACAAAACUGUUGUUGCAUCCAGAUUUGACAGCCAGUGUUCAUGAUGGAGGGCCCAGGCCAAACAUUCAUGCAGUUGGUGGGCUAAGAAGAAAAGGGGGUUUAUGGAAGAUGACUAGCUUUUAUGUUCAGAUGAACGCUGCAGGCUCUCCUGUGACCCCUGAGCAUAUUGUUUGGGAAGAGACAAAGUAUGGUGGCAGACUUGCGGUGAUACUGCUUAUUUCAUUAGUAACUCCCAGUUUCUCCCUGUGUAGUGUGUAAUAACAGGAAGAGUGCUCUCUCUGAAGACUGAGAUGGUUUGAAAGGUGCUUCUAGAGCUGCCAAGUAUGCUGAUGCACUGCCAACGCCUGCUUGUUUUGACCCAAUAUAGUAAUUGUACUCUAGAAGCAUGCAUCUGUUUCAUUGUUGGUUACGCCAAAGCAAAACUCAAUGAUAUAUGUCUGAGUAACUUUUCCUACAACCUUCUGAAGUUACUAUCACAUGUAGUCUUUUAUGGUGGAGAGAACAAAGCCUGAAAGUGUAAGCAAAGUGAAUGAGUUGAGAUCUUGAUUGUAUUUUUGUGCCCCAGUCCUGACUUUCUUGUAAGCACUGAAAUGUGUGCGCGUUGCUCCCUGGUUCCAUGUUCAGUGCUGCAGCUAGUCCCUGGUUAUAAAAAGUGCUGCUAAUACCCUUAAUUAACACUUAUGGCCAGCAUAGUAUUGGCAUAGUAUCUCAAAUUAGACUUGAAGUUGAUAUUUUGCCACGCUCUUCCAAGAGAACAGUUUCUUUCAAACCAGAUACCACUUCAGAAAUCUAAAUGAUUAUAUAUUUAAGGUCGCACAAGAAUUUGAGUUGUGUGUGUGGAGGGUUUUACUGCAUGUGGUGUUAAAAAGAGAUUAUGUGCCGAUAUCAAAGCAGAGGUAUCCCACAUAUGGAAAAAGGAAAGACAACACCAGUGUGUAAGCAGCAUUUGUGUUCUGUUGCACUUUAACUUUGGAAUAGCCUGAAAAUUACUGGCUGGAUGAACUCAAAUUUGUGAAUCCUGGUAGAAUGUUCCUUACUCACAAAUUGAGCCACAGUUUGUAAUCUCAUUAGCAGCUUUGUUUUGAAAAGAGUAGACACACUUGUCCUUUGAGAGAAGACUAUCAGUUUGAGAUAUUUAUUUUCAAUCCUAUCCUAGAACAUUGCUUAUCUAAUCAUCGUAUGCCAAAGCACAAUAUAUGAGCUCGGAGGACACCAGAAGCUAUGUUAAAAGCAUUUGCUCUCUUGGAGCUUAAAGGAAAGCUAUGAUAGUCAAGUGCAUUCUGGAUAUGUGAUAGUAUAUUCCUAGCUGUACUUGGUGACAAAUAACUCGUUGCUAUGCUCCACUCUAAUUCAGCAUGUGCAUAAUCCACUAAUGCAGAGGUUCCUGAAGUAUUUAUGUGGCUUUCAGAAGGGUGGUUUAGUUGUCAUAUUGGAUAGAACCAGCGCAAUUACUGAGGCUGUGAGGCUCUCUUCCACUUGCAAUAGUAAGGGAGCGGGUGUUUAAGAGUUAAGCAGGCUGAAAAGACACAAAGCCAGCAGAUACUGCUCCUGGCUGGAAUGCAGAGCAAAAGGGGGAUUGUGUAUUAGUCUAGGUUUGCUGGCUGCCAGUUGCCUUCAGGCUGAUACCUGUUGUUGUAGGUCCCAAGGCCAAGCCAUAGCUCAAACUAUACAGCAAGGGGGAAGAAAGAGUUGGCUCUACUCCCUCUGUGUUCCCUGGGCUUUCUGUGUGGCAAGAGCAAAGCUGAGAUCCAGGCGUGAGAGCUGAACCUGAAUCCCUCUCCAAGGGUACCUUGGAAAGCAUUUCUAGUUAGUAUCGGUUACCCAGGAUGAGACAAUAGGUCUCAUACAAUUUAGCAAAAAAUAAGUGGGGGGAAAAAAAAGGGAAACAAUAAACUGGAUUAUCUUAUUCAUGCUGAUUUAGUGGUAUAUUCCUGAUUCCAUUCUUAGUAGGUUUGAUCAGCAAGUUUGAUCAGCAAACCGCCCCUCUUACUAGUUUUAUUACUUUUACAUCACAUUGAGAAGCUCUAUAUCUUCCAUUUCAUCUUGAAAAAUGAAACUGUUACUUAAAAAUCUAUUUUACUGAAAAAGAGGCAUCAAAGAUUUUUCAAGCCGUUAACCUCAGACUACCCCCUGGACCAGAAUGAGCCUCAGAGGCUAAGUCUGUCUUUGUAAACAAUGUGAUUGUGAGAGGAAGGAGAAUAUGGACUCUCAGAACUUGCACCUUAUUAUGGCCUUCUGAGAUUUUAAAAGGCAAUAAAGCUAUGUCACUAGAUUUUCAGCAAC